rnacentral:rRNA from 1 species
UACGGGGGGGGCAAGCGUUGUUCGGAAUUACUGGGCGUAAAGGGCUCGUAGGCGGCCAACUAAGUCAGACGUGAAAUCCCUCGGCUUAACCGGGGAACUGCAUCUGAUACUGGAUGGCUUGAGUUCGGGAGAGGGAUGCGGAAUUCCAGGUGUAGCGGUGAAAUGCGUAGAUAUCUGGAGGAACACCGGUGGCGAAGGCGGCAUCCUGGACCGACACUGACACUGAGGAGCGAAAGCCAGGGGAGCAAACGGG